GACAGAAGCAGAAGGUCCUGUUUUUGGGGACAGAAGCACAAAGUCUUGGUGUUGGAAGUGGACGCAGAGGGUGCUGGUCUUGGGGCUGACGCAGCCAGACGCGCCAUGAGCCGCGCCGGCGCGUGCCUCCGGGCGGCCGCGCUCUGCCUCCUGGUCUGGGCCGGCCUGCCGGCCGCCGACCGGCUGUACAUCCACCCCUUCCACAUGCUGGUCUACAACCAGAGCGUGUGCGAGCAGCUGGAGCGGCCCAGCGAGGCGCCGACCCCCGCCCCCACCUUCACGGCGGUGCCCAUCCAGGCCAAGACGGCCCCGGCGGACGAGGAGGCCCUGCGGGAGCCGCUGGUGGCCGCCGCCCGGGGGCUGCAGGGCGAGGACAAGGCGCGGGUGGUCACGGUGGGCAUGCUGCUCAACUUCCUGGGCCUCCGCCUGUACCGGACGCUGGCCGAGACCCAGGCCCCCCCGGCGGCCACCCUGCUCUCCCCGACCGCCCUCUUCGGCACCCUCACCGCCUUCUACCUGGGGGCCCUGGACCCCACGGCCGGCCGGCUGCAGGCCUUCCUGGGGGUCCCCGGGGAGGACCAGGGCUGCACCUCCCGGCUGGACGGCCACAAGGUGCUGUCCGCGCUGCAGGCCAUCCAGGGCCUCCUGGUGCUGCAGGGCGGGGCGGCCGGCCAGGCCCGCCUGCGGGCGGCCACGGUGCUGGGCCUGUUCACGGCGCCCGGCCUGCGCCUCAAGCAGCCCUUCGUGGGCGGCCUGGCCCCCUUCGCCCCCGUGACCCUCCCGCGCUCCCUCGACCUGGCCGCCGACCCCCGGCUGGCCGCCGAGAGGAUCAACAGGUUCAUGCAGGCCGCGACCGGCUGGAAGACGGGCAGCCCGCUGCGGGAGGUCAGCCCGGACAGCAACCUGGUCUUCAACGCCCUCGCCCGCUUCCAAGGUCGGAUGAAGGGCUUCUCUCUGCUGCCGGGGCCGCGGGAGUUCCGCGUGGACAACGCCACGUCUGUGGCCGUGCCCAUGCUGACGGGCACGGGCAGCUUCCUGCACUGGAGCGACGCCCGCCUCAACCUCUCGCUGACCCGCGUGCCGCUCAGCGCCAACGUGGGGCUGCUGCUGGUACAGCCGCACGACCCUGCGGCCCUGGCCGAGGUGGAGGCCCUCACCUUCCAGCACGGCCUGCUGACCUGGACCAAGCACCUGGCUCCCCGGGCCGUCCGGCUGACGCUGCCCCAGCUGGCGCUGCGAGGCUCCUACGACCUGCAGGACCUGCUGGCCCAGGCCAAGCUGGCCACGCUGCUGGGCGCCGGGGCCAGCCUGGGCGGGAUCAGCGAGGACCAGCUCCGCGUUGGACAGGUGCUGAACAGCGUUCUGUUUGAGCUCAAAGCGGAGAAGGGGGAGCGUCCCACGGGGUCGGCCCACCCUCCCACGGAGUCCGCCGAGGUCCUGGAGGUGACGCUGGACCGGCCCUUCCUGUUCGCCGUCUACGAUCAGGACUCCACCGCCCUGCACUUCCUGGGCCGCGUGACCAACCCUCAGAACGCAGUGUGAGGCCAGCCACGGGCACCCAGCCACCGCCCCGGCCACCCAGCCACCAUCCCAGCCACCGCCCCGGCCCGCAGCAGCACCAGCUUGUCAGCACCACCUUCCUCUUCGUCUCCCCACGAGCCAGCCUGGAGCCGAGAGCAGCCUUCUCUGGACCUCAGAUUUAGGGGGGACCUGGGGGAACGGGGUGGGGUUGGGGGCAGGUUAGAACCAGCGUUCAGCUCAGGACGACUGUCCCGGAAAGCGUUUGCCCAGACCAGCCUGUGUGUGGGCGCGAUCGUCGCUUCCUCUCUCACUGGGAAUGGACACCGGGUUUCGGGGUGAGACCGGGGCAGGGGUGGGGGUGGGGGUGUGCAGCGUAUGGAAGCGGGGGCCCGCGUCCCUCUUGGUCUCCCCGUGUUCCUUUCCCGCGGCGCCUGGGGGCUUUGGAAAACGCCGGCGGCUGAGUGCGUUAGCAUGUAACCCCGUGGCUGGCGAUCCUGCUACUAAUAAAUCUUAUCAUAGAAGGCA